GUAACUCUUGCAGUCUCGGCUUUUGGCGCUGGGGAUCUCUUCCUCCGACGUUGCUGAUGUUCUCCCUGGAGCACGGCAGUUUAGAUCACCAUCUCUCGGGAUCUCGCAGCAAAAGAAGAACUUGGAGAGAACUUGGGGAGAGGAAAGCUGUAAGGCUACUCUUGCAAAGUUUGUUCUCUCUCCUCCGCUUUGCAACGAGAAAAGGAAGAGCUACGCUGCUGGA